rnacentral:rRNA from 1 species
GUAGGGCUUCACACGUGCUACAAUGGGUGGUACAAAGAGCAGCUAACUCGCGAGAGUAUGCAAAAUCUCAAAAAGCCAUCCUCAGUUCGGAUUGGAGUCUGCAACUCGACUCCAUGAAGUUGGAAUCGCUAGUAAUCGCGGAUCAGCAUGCCGCGGUGAAUACGUUCCCGGGCCUU